CAGCCGCCGCGGUAAUACGAAGGGGGCUAGCGUUGUUCGGAAUUACUGGGCGUAAAGCGCGCGUAGGCGGUUACUCAAGUCAGAGGUGAAAGCCCGGGGCUCAACCCCGGAACUGCCUUUGAAACUAGGUGACUAGAAUCUUGGAGAGGUCAGUGGAAUUCCGAGUGUAGAGGUGAAAUUCGUAGAUAUUCGGAAGAACACCAGUGGCGGAGGCGACUGACUGGACAAGUAUUGACGCUGAGGUGCGAAAGCGUGGGGAGCAAACAGGAUUAGAUACCCCAGUAGUCCCUGUCUCUUAUAC
rnacentral:rRNA from 1 species